UACGAAGGGGGCUAGCGUUGCUCGGAAUCACUGGGCGUAAAGCGCACGUAGGCGGCUUUCUAAGUCAGGGGUGAAAUCCUGGAGCUCAACUCCAGAACUGCCUUUGAUACUGGAGAGCUUGAGUCCGGGAGAGGUGAGUGGAACUCCGAGUGUAGAGGUGAAAUUCGUAGAUAUUCGGAAGAACACCAGUGGCGAAGGCGGCUCACUGGCCUGGUACUGACGCUGAGGUGCGAAAGCGUGGGGAGCAAACAGG
rnacentral:rRNA from 1 species